rnacentral:rRNA from 1 species
UACGUAGGGACCAAGCGUUGUUCGGAUUUACUGGGCGUAAGGGCGCGUAGGCGGCGUGGUAAGUCACUUGUGAAAUCUCUGAGCUUAACUCAGAACGGCCAAGUGAUACUGCUGUGCUAGAGUGCAGAAGGGGCAAUCGGAAUUCUUGGUGUAGCGGUGAAAUGCGUAGAUAUCAAGAGGAACACCUGAGGUGAAGACGGGUUGCUGGGCUGACACUGACGCUGAUGCGCGAAAGCUAGGGGAGCAAACGGG